GCAACUUUCACAAUCCGAACAGUAUGAGGGUUGGAAGCUUCCUUAACAUACUAGUCUACUUGGUAAUCUUAAUACUUACAGCAGUGGGUGCGCAGUCCACAAGAAAAAAUGUAAAGUGUAAUCCAAUGGGCUGUCCAAAAGUGGAACCUUAACUUUAGUGAUGCCAAUAGUAAAAAUCUCAAUAAUAAAUCAAAUUAUUGAUGCCAAUAGUAAAAAUCUGAAUAAUAAAACAAAUUAUUGAUCCAUGAA